rnacentral:misc_RNA from 1 species
AGUAUCUCCUUCAAGAAUUGCUGCUCAUAAAGAAAACACCCCAAAUUUGCAACAUGAGUAUGCUGAAAAUUAAUAUUAUAAUGAACACAGUCAAUGUAACCAUCCUUUUACAUUUCCUCAUAUCUAAUGAUCAUUAUUAGCUUUAAACAAUCAUUGGAUUACGUGUAGUCCUAGAGAGACAAAGGGAGAAAAGAUGGUCCAGGUGCCACUAAAUCAACUAACAAGGCAAUUUCAACCAUUUAACGAACAAACCAUGAUUAAUGCGUAUCUUGUGAUUUCUACAGACAAGUUGGACCAAAAUGCAUGUCUUUUUAAUCAAUGACAAGAACAGAAAAAUUUUUAUGGACCAGCAAGUUAAAAAUAAAGAAUUAAAAAAGGAGAAAGGAAGGCGCACCGCAGGUUGAUCAGUUUCUUG